CUCGGCGAGGCGUCCCCUGUCCUCCUCCGGGCCCGGCCCGGGGUGCGGGCGAGGCCCCGAGGCCCCCUCCCGCCGGGCUCGGGCGGAGCCGGACGGCCUGGCGGGAGCAGGCGCCGCGGGCCGCGAGCUCCUCAUUCGAACCUCCCUCGCAGACAGUCUCCGCCCCACAAUGCACCGGGGCGGGCAGCCUUUGAAAAAGCGGCGCGGCUCGUUCAAGAUGGCGGAGCUCGACCAGUUGCCUGACGAGAGCUCUUCAGCAAAAGCCCUUGUCAGUUUAAAAGAGGGAAGUUUAUCUAACACAUGGAAUGAAAAGUACAGUUCUUUACAGAAAACUCCUGUUUGGAAAGGCAGGAAUGCGGGCCCUGCUGUAGAAAUGCCUUUCAGAAAUUCAAAAAGAAGUCGACUCUUUUCUGAUGAAGAUGACAGACAAAUAAAUACAAAGUCACCUAAAAGAAACCAGAGAGUGGCAAUGAUCCCACAGAAAUUUACAGCAACGAUGUCAACACCAGAUAAGAAAGCAUCACAGAAGAUUGGUUUUCGAUUACGGAACCUACUCAAGCUUCCCAAAGCACAUAAGUGGUGCAUAUAUGAGUGGUUCUACUCAAACAUAGACAAGCCACUUUUUGAAGGAGAUAAUGACUUUUGUGUAUGCCUAAAGGAAUCCUUUCCUAAUUUGAAAACAAGAAAAUUAACAAGAGUAGAAUGGGGAAAAAUCAGGAGACUGAUGGGAAAACCUCGGAGAUGUUCUUCUGCAUUUUUUGAGGAAGAGAGAUCAGCCUUAAAACAGAAGCGGCAGAAAAUCAGGCUGUUACAACAAAGGAAAGUUGCAGAUGUUUCACAGUUCAAAGAUCUCCCCGAUGAAAUCCCUCUACCCCUGGUUAUUGGAACCAAAGUUACAGCGCGGUUACGUGGCAUUCACGAUGGCCUGUUUACUGGUCAGAUAGAUGCAGUGGACACUCUUAAUGCUACUUACAGAGUAACUUUCGAUAGGACAGGCCUUGGGACUCACACCAUUCCUGACUAUGAAGUUCUUUAAUGAGCCUCAUGAGACAAUGCCAAUCUCUGCCUUUGGACAAAAACAGCGGCCUUCUCGGUUUUUUAUGACCCCCCCACGGUUACAUUAUACCCCUCCUCUCCAGUCACCAAUUACAGAUGGCGAUCCUUUACUGGGGCAGUCACCUUGGAGAAGUAAAGUUUCUGGCUCUGACACGGAGACGUUAGGAGGCUUUCCAGUGGAAUUCCUUAUCCAGGUGACUAAGUUAUCAAAAAUUCUCAUGAUUAAAAAAGAGCAUAUAAAGAAAUUAAGGGAGAUGAACACAGAAGCAGAAAAGCUGAAAUCCUAUUCCAUGCCCAUUGGCAUUGAGUUUCAGCGGAGAUACGCAACGAUCGUCCUGGAGCUUGAGCAGCUGAACAAGGACCUGAACAAAGUUCUGCAUAAAGUUCAGCAGUAUUGCUAUGAGCUUGCACCAGACCAGGGACUCCAGCCUGCCGAUCAGCCAACAGACAUGAGACGGAGGUGUGAGGAAGAAGCCCAGGAAAUCGUCCGGCAAGCCAACUCUGCUUCCGGACAGCCCUGUGUAGAAAACGAAAAUCUGACGGACUUGAUCUCCAGGCUCACUGCGAUUUUAUUACAAAUUAAGUGUCUGGCAGAGGGAGGAGACCUGAAUUCCUUUGAAUUCAAAUCUCUCACAGAUUCAUUAAAUGACAUAAAAAACACAAUAGAUGCUUCUAAUAUCAGUUGUUUUCAGAAUAACGUAGAAAUCCAUGUUGCACAUAUCCAGAGUGGCCUGAGUCAGAUGGGAAACUUACACGCCUUUGCAGCCAACAACACGAACAGAGACUGAGCACAGGAUUCUGGUACCCAGCUGCACACAGCCAUGGUCUGAGGAGUCCUGGUCCUUAACCCAUGCUUCCAACACCAGAUAACCUAGCUGCUGGAAAACCGGAGAACUGUACAUCUCCAGAUACGGCUUUUUAAUACACUCUACUGCUUCUUCAACCAGCAUUGUGCUGACCAGCAUUUAUUUAUUGUUCUUUUAUUAUCCAGAUGCAGUAGUGUUGCUUAUAUUUCCUGUUUAUCAGCAAACAUUUUUAACCGGAAACUCUCUGAACGUACUAUCCCAUGGAGGAUAAACCACUGUUUUAUGCAUGCAUGAAUUCUGCUCAGCACAUGCAGACGACUCCUGUGACAGACAGAGAACAUGAAGAAGCACGGUCUUUCCAUGCAUGAUGGUGGGAAUCCCAUCCGAGAGUCACCGGUCCAGUGGAGUUAGUUGGCAUUAUAUCUUGGGCUGCAAAAUAGACGUCAUGAGUGUGAGAGUCCGAGUCGUAAGGAACCCGCUGGGGUACAGAUGGGAAACACGGACUUAAGUGUAUGUUUCAUAUACUGACAGUGGGACAUGGUUCUAUAGAUCAAUUAUAAUAAUAAAUAUUUUAAUUUAUCAUAAUUUAUAAAAGCUUUGUUGUUUAUCAGCAGAGGAAAUGAAGGAGCCGGAGGAACUGUACUGUGCCCCGCUGGAUCCCAGCGGGUGGACUUGGCAUGCCUUCCAUGAUUCAGGGCAAAAGUGUUAAGUGUUGAGACUUAUUUUAAAAAAGACUGAUGACACACUAUUUUCGUAUUUUUUUGUUUAUUUGCACAACUUUAAACCAGAUGACUGGUUAAAAUUGAACAGUACACAAUUUAUAAAGUGAAAAUCUUUUAUAAGGAAAGCAUAUGACAUGUGAAUACACAGGGAGGUUUGGCUUUGGUUGUUUUGUUUGGUUUUGUUUUUUCUUUUUAAGAAAAACCCUGCCUAAAAUAAUCUUGUAAAAAGUAUGUAUUUUAAAAUUUUUGUUUUAAUAUAGAAUAUUAUAAAGCCAAAAUAUAAUUGUUUUCAGAUUUGGAGUUUAAAAUAGAGCUAUAGAGGUGGUUCUGAUUCUUUGACGUCUCAUAAAAUGAGACUUUUGUAUAUUAAUGUAUAAUAAAACUGAAAUAAGAUUAUUUUCCUUGAAAUUUUUGUAUAGUUUAAAAAUGCUUCUGUGUUCUUUGUUGGUAUUGGGCCACUGCAGAUCUUAGUGCAGAGUUUAUAUUUAGCUAGACUGUUAUGUUAAUUAAGAAAUGCAUAAAUCUUUUAUUCUUAAUAUUUGUAAUUCUAAAUAAAUCAAUCUAUGAAAUUUAA